rnacentral:rRNA from 1 species
ACGUAUCCAACCUGCCGUCUACUCUUGGACAGCCUUCUGAAAGGAAGAUUAAUACAAGAUGGCAUCAUGAGUCCGCAUGUUCACAUGAUUAAAGGUAUUCCGGUAGACGAUGGGGAUGCGUUCCAUUGGAUAGUAGGCGGGGUAACGGCCCACCUAGUCUUCGAUGGAUAGGGGUUCUGAGAGGAAGGUCCCCCACAUUGGAACUGAGACACGGUCCAAACUCCUACGGGAGGCAGCAUG